rnacentral:rRNA from 1 species
ACUCCUACGGGAGGCAGCAGUGGGGAAUAUUGCACAAUGGGCGGAAGCCUGAYGCAGYGACGCCGCGUGAGGGAUGACGGCCUUCGGGUUGUAAACCUCUUUYAGCAGGGAAGAAGCCACAAGUGACGGUACCUGCAGAAGAAGCGCCGGCUAAYUACGUGCCAGCAGCCGCGGUAAUACGUAGGGSGCAAGCGUUGUCCGGAAUUAUUGGGCGUAAAGAGCUCGUAGGCGGUUUGUCGCKUCUGCUGUGAAAGCCCGGGGYUCAACCCCGGGUYUGCMGUGGGUACGGGCAGACUAGAGUGCAGUAGGGGRGACUGGAAUUCCUGGKGUAGCGGUGAAAUGCGCAGAUAUCAGGAGGAACMCCGAUGGSGAAGGCAGGUCUYUGGGCUGUUACUGACGCUGAGGAGSGAAAGCAUGGGGAGCGAACAGGAUUAGAUACCCUGGUAGUCCAUGCCGUAAACGUUGGGCACUAGGUGUGGGGGACAUUCCACGUUYUCCGCGCCGUAGCUAACGCAUUAAGUGCCCCGCCUGGGGAGUACG